ACUCCUGACGGGAAGGGCAGCAUCGGGGGAAUAUGGCACAUGGCGCAAGCCUGAUGCAGCCAUGCCGCGUGUAUGAAGAAGGCCUUCGGGUUGUAAAGUACUUUCAGCAGUGAGGAAGGUGGAGUCGUUAAUAGCGGCCUCAUUUGACGUUAGCUGCAGAAGAAGCACCGGCUAACUCCGUGCCAGCAGCCGCGGUAAUACGGAGGGUGCGAGCGUUAAUCGGAAUUACUGGGCGUAAAGCGCAUGCAGGUGGUUUGUUAAGUCAGAUGUGAAAGCCCGGGGCUCAACCUCGGAAUUGCAUUUGAAACUGGCAGACUAGAGUACUGUAGAGGGGGGGUAGAAUUUCAGGUGUAGCGGUGAAAUGCGUAGAGAUCUGAAGGAAUACCGGUGGCGAAGGCGGCCCCCCUGGACAGAUACUGACACUCAGAUGCGAAAGCGUGGGGAGCAAACAGGAUUAGAUACCCUGGUAGCUCGAUGU
rnacentral:rRNA from 1 species